AGGAUUGUGGAAAAGUAGGAGAGUUUCAGCUGCUUUUUGUGUAACAUUGUUUUGAGGGGACUGUAACCCAGGAAUUUCAUUAUAAAAGCAUUAAUUAAGGAUGUUUUAUCUUCUCUUUCUAUGGCACCUCUUCACUGGAGAACCUGUGAUACUAAUCCUGCUAAUACUUGAUGGUUUUUCCCUAUCUGCUUUUUUUUCCUCCCCUUGGUCUUUAAAAAAACAAGCCAAGCCUUUCAGCAGUUCAUCCACUUCUAAUUUCACUUCCCCAUUUGUUGUCAGUGUGAGAAGAUACACUUCCCUAAUCUGGGGACUACUUUUUUCUUUGUUAGCUGUUCUUCCUCUGUUUUGGGGAAACUUCACUUUAUUGUGACAAGCUCAGAGCUCUGCAUCAUACCCCAUACUUCCCUUUGACUUUUUAUGCUUGGUUGUCUUACAGUGAUGUUUUAUAUGUGUCAGGAGCUAAUAGAGCAUUUCAAACUGAUUAGCACUUGCAGCUUGGAAUGACUAGGAGGAUGUAAUCUAUUGAUGAAAUAGGAGAUAUGAGCUGGAGGUGGGAACAAUAAUGCAGUAUAAUGGAAAUGGUGACUUUUCACUGUGUCCUGCCAAAUGAUAAUUUUUACAUACAUCCUGAUGGCAGUAAGCAUGAAAGUAAAUGGAGAUGGCAGCCUGAUGAGAGCUCACCUUUUCCAGGGUCUUUUCCAUGCCUGGGCAUGUGGGUAGCCCUGGAAGAACACCAUAAAGAAGAAGUUUAGAACUGUUGUAAGUUGGAAGGGGGAAGGUGAGGGAUACCUUUUCUGUGUUAUCUGGUUGGGAGAAGCAAAGCAAGAAAAGAAAUUUCAGGCACUUUCCUCUCUGUAUCUUCUCCUUCUCUCUUUCCUAAUGACGAAUUGGUUUUAUUUGCCUCUUUAUUUCUAUUUGUUCAAUUCAGAUUUAGAUCUGAUAUUGUAAGAGUUGGGACUUCCUCUUUCCAUUUAAAUUAAUCCCUUCACCACAAAAACUCUGUUAAUUUUACUUCUUUUCAGAUACAUUUAACCUACUUUGUAUAGUGCUUCAUCCCACUAAAUCAGAUCUGGGAAAAGUCAGACUUGAGUGCUGCUCAGAUCAGCAGAUGGCAGGCUCCUUCUAGCAAUUGGUACCACCAGCUUCAUCCUACAUCCCCCUACAUCAGAGCAUCUGAUGAUGACAGGCAGAAAAAAAAGUAUUUCUGCAUCAUGCACUCAAGAGUGUGCAUUAUGUCAGUGAGGAAUCAAAGAUAUAUUUGUCCCCAGGGUCUGCACUGCUCGCAGUCAGCCCUGUGCUGUAAUGUGCAUCCACUGGGAAAGCAAGAACCCAGAGACUGAGUAAUUUGGAGAAGAGUAGAAAUCUGAAUGCCAGAGAUGUCAGAGAAUUGCAAGCUCAAAGCAGAGUCUGAUUUCCCACUUACUACUCCUCUGUGAGGUGUCUCUCAGAAUUACUGUUAGUCUCAGGAGUGGGUAAGGAGAAAUUUGGGAAAAAGAAAGAGCUCCUUGCAAAUCCAAUCUUUAUUUUAUACACCCCUGAUCAAUGGUUCCCUAAUCAAGGCCUCCCUUUCCUCAGGGGCAUCUACUUCUUGCAGGAUGGCUUCCUUUAAUCUUUAUCUAUUUAGGUUUAAAUUUCAGUCACCCCUUUUGGGAAGCAAUUCAGUUGCCCAAAGUUUUAUGACUUACUGAAUCCUCUUAACACCAUCACACUGAUUAAUUUAAACACACUUCAAAUGCAGGAUUUCUAGUACUACUGAGACUGCAUCUCUUUGAUGUUUUAGGUGUUUGCUUGAAUGUGUUGUAUCCCCCAGUUUCUCUAAAGAGUGGCUUGAAAGUAUUUUUUAACAAUACAGCAUUGUUAUGAAAAUGAGCUGACUAGUGAGUCCAAUAGCAGGAAUUUGCUCUGAGUCAACAGUGGCAAUUUGCAAGCAUUGACUAAUGAAUUCCAUAAUCCAGGCAGCACCUCUGUGAAUAAGGGAAGAAAGCUCCAUUAUCUCUAAUAUGCAUCGAGGAUCCAAACAUGAGAGGAGCAGCUGCUGUGUAAGAGUCUAAACAGAUAUUGAAUACAAUUUGGGAAUUCCUGGUCCUUGUUGCUCUGCUUGGAAAAACCCUGAUCUCACAUCUCUGAACAGAAAACUCCCAAGGAUGUGCUAAGCAGACAAGAGAAGUGUGGGGUUUUCUUUUUUGUUUUGUUUUGUUUUGUUUUGUUACAGAAAGCAUGACUGUUGUAGGCUCUUACACCCUGUGACAGAAAAUUUCAGUGAGAGAUAGUAAAAAGAGAUUGGUCUUUUCUUCCCUCUUUGAUUGACUGGGAAAAGUUUGCCAAGUCAUGUGUUAACGUUGUAACAAUGGAAAAUGAACCAGGAGUAAUUAAUAGUGUAGUAAGUGAUUAUUAUUCCUUUUUCUUGUUUUCUCUUUUAGAGCAUACAACAAAUCUGUGAGGACAGUGGUCAGCACAUCCCCUGUUGAGGCAUCUAAUUGUCUGUGUCUGGCCCUGGCCACAGCUGCUCUGUUCCCUCAUAGCUUGACAGGUAUCCACUGUAUGGGUUUACACUCAGACAAGGUGACUUUAGUCAAUAUUUUUUUCCUGCAUAGGUUUUGGCAUCUCAAGUGUUUUCUCAUGGGUGUUCCAAGCCCCGCACCACUAUGAAACCUGUGCUAGUGGCGCUGAGCACUUGACACAAAUUGCUGCUUUCUUUCCCUUCAGAAUAUCACAUUUCUUUUGUUUCUAAGACAUGGUUGUAGGUGGGUGUUACUAAGCUUAAGAAGGUAUGUCAGGAGGCUGCUUCUGUGUUAGCAACCAGAAAUGACCUCUGCAGAACACCUGAUGGAACUGAGUGUAGAUCUCCAAGAGACCAAAUGCUGGAAAUGCAUAAAAAGUAGCAGCUUUUUACUUAAGAUUAGAAUCCCAGGUAUUUGCUAGUGAUUGUGUUAAUGCUCUUUCCUGAUUUUACAGACAUGCAACUGAGCAGAUGAAUAUUCUGAAUAAUAUAUAUCACAACUGAGUUGGUUUUGGAAAAGGGGGAAAUAAGUCUGUUGCUGACCCAGAAGUCACAUCUACUUUAAACUGGGAAAAAAGAAAACACACAAUUCCCCAAACACCACCUUGAAAUACUGCCAAGCAAGUAUACCUGAGAUGUCUGUUGUGCUGCAUGGAGCCAGAAGAGAAAGUCUGGAAGAACAAAAAAGCCAGGAUUGCAACUGAUCCAACUUCUGUUUGCUAUAAUUGAUAGGAGAUAUGAGGAAGGGUGUUAAUUUUAAUGUGUUCAGCCCUGGGUCACACACCGGCUAUUUAUUGUGGGUUGGAUGGCUAAUGUGCAUUUUGGUCAGCUGGGCAGCCAGCAGCCUGUUUCAAUUUCACCUGUCUAGACAGGGUUUUGGGUUGCCCUGUUCUGGCAGGCAAUGUGAGAUUUCAUGCCUUGAUCUUAUCAUGCUGUGCUGAGUUUACUUCAGAGAGAAGAACACCUGCAGCCUGAGAGUGGGGAUUCAGGGGGAGCUGCAAAUGCACAGCAUUUGGAUCUUUGUCCUUGACAGGUGUUGCUAGGAGUGGCUUUUGCAGUGUCUCAGUGGGUUUCAACACUUUGGAAUGGUGGAUUUCCAGACUUGGAUCCUUUCAGGUAACUCAUAGGUUGAUCACUAUAGACCAGCCUUUAUUUUUCACUGCCUUCUAUGGAACACAAAUGGAAAACAACUGCUCUAAUGUUCCAGGAAAUUCACGUAAGGACACCAGACUCUUACAUAACGUCCUCCCUUUGUCAAGCAGCUCUCAGAGAGGACAACUAUGGUAGAUUUAAAGCAGUGGUUUGAGCAGGUGGCUCAUUUGCACAGACAUUCACUGGAAUAGUCCCACUGGUUUUAUUUCCCAGUGAAGUGUUGGUGCAGGUGAGUGUAUGCGGACAGUCCUACUAUCGACACAAUUAGCAUUUGUACCAGAACAGUGCCUGGGGUCAAACAAGAACAGGCCUCCCUUGUACCAGGCAGCCUAUGAACUCCUGGAAGCAAACAGUUCCUGCAGUGAAAACUUGCAUCUAAACAAAGCUGUCCUUUCCUACUUUGGUUUGCAAGUAAUUUUUAUUAUGAUUUUUAUUGCAGUUCCAUUCAUAUUUAUAGGUAUGAGUAGAUCUGGGUUUGUUUCAGGGUAAAUGCCUGUGUCAUUCACCCCUUGCAGUAUAAGGUGUACAAAGCUCUGUGGGAACUGCUUGUAAUGUUUACUGCACAAUGACCAGUCACUUUGCUUAAGUUCAGGAGGUAAGUGGUUACCAGGACUAUGAGAUACUGACAAUUUGAACCUCUAUAAAAGAGAUUUUUGUCUUCCUGUUGGUUGUAUUAUUUAUGUCAUUAAAUGAGUUGCUUUCUUCUAA